GUGAAACAAAACGCAACCUUUUUUUCAUGUUGUGGUUGUGGGUGCGUGCAUUUGUGUUGUCCGGUGUUUGAAGACGCUUGGAAUUCGCUUUCAAUUUCUUCAUAGGAAAAAUGUCGGGUGAUACCGAUAAAGCAAAAAUCAGUGAUAAUCAGGAUGAAGACAAGAAAUCUGGUGCAGGAGACGGACAUACAACAGAAGAUGAAUCUUCACAGGAUUCAAAGGGUGAGUCGCUGUCUCAAGAAACCGAGGUCCAAGGUAACGCCGACGAUGUAGAACCCAAGGAAACACCAGGUGACGCGAAGUCAACAACUGCAAACGGAAAGGACGACGGACCCGCCAGUGACGUCAAGGAAGAAAAGGACGGAAAGGCUGACGUAGAUAUAAAGGAAGAAAAUGGUGAAACUCACGAUGAAAAUGAGAAAGAUGACGUAAAGGAAAACGACAAGGGCGGCAAAAAAGCACCACUAAAGAAAAAACCUAAGAAAGAGGACACUGAGGAGGAGGAUGAAGACGAGGAGGAAGAGGAAGAGGAGGACGAGGAAGGAGAGGAGGGAGAUGAGGAGGAUGAGAAGGACGAGAAGGUAGACAAGAAACCCAAGGACAAAGUAAAGAAACCAGUAAAAAAAGCUAAAGACGGUGAUGAUGAAGGCGACGACGAGGAGGAAGGUGAAGAGGAGGGCGAGGAGGAGGAGGAAGAAGAAGAGGAAGAGGAGGAGGCGCCAAAGCCUAAGCCCAAGAAAGAGCCAACAGAGCCCCCGGUGCCACUGCCUGCAGGCAAGGGCCUGCCUCUCGGACACAUCAACAACGUCGAGAUCUCAUUAUCACGGUUCAAAACGCAAGACCAGAAGGUCUUGCACCAGUAUUUAUAUGGGCAACUAUGUCUGGACCGUAACGUGAAACGGAACAUAAAGAAGUUCAAGGGCUAUGAGUGGGCUAUCGGCUCACCCGAGUACAAGACCAAGUUGGAGGAGACGGCCAAGAUGGAGCUCAAACAGCUGAGGACCAUGUGCGAAAUGCUUGAUCUGGAUAAGAAAGGCGGGCCCAACGACCUGGCGGCGCGGCUGGUGGGCUUCCUGCAGCAGCCGGUGAACAACUCGCCGCACGCGCGCGGCGUGGCGCGCGCGCCCUCGGCCGUCGCCAGCACGGGCGGCCGGCCGCGCCGCUCCGCCGCCGUCAAGAUACACAACCGAGGCUAUUCAGAUGAGGAAAAUGAAACCGAUUCAGACAACAAAGUGAAAGGUCCAAAACCACCCAAGGACGGCUCUGAAGAUUCUGACGGUUCAUUCAAUCCGAGCGGGUCUGAAGCGGACUCGGACUUCGACCCCGAGGGCGGCGAGGGCGCCAGCGGCGUGACCCGCAAGCGCAAGAGCUCGGGCCGGCGCCGCUCCAACGCCAAGCCCAGCAAGCCGGGCAAGCGCGGCGCGCGCAAGAGCAAGGGCGGCAAGAAGGCAAAGGUUGCCACUAAAGGACGCGGACGAAAAGCAAAGUCAGAGAGUGAAGAUGAGAGUGACAAAUCGGAGAGUGAAAGCGAAGGAGGAGAGUCUGGCAGCGACGCGGAGGAGUCUGAUGAGCCGAAGUCCAAACGCGGCCGGCCGGCCAGCGCUCCGGUGGCGAAGGGCCGCAAGGGUGCCGUCACCAAGGCGGCCGCCAAAGCCACCCCCGCCAAACGGAAAGCGCCCACGCCGCCAGCCAAAAAGAAGGCGCCGGCUAAACCAGUAGGUCGGCCGGCUGCCAAGAAGGGCAAGAAGGCGUCGUCCGAGGAGUCUGGGGAGGGCAGCGAGGAGGAGGAAGACGAGGAGGAGGGCAGCGACGAGGAGAGCGGGGAGGAGUCGGACGCGCCCACAGACAAGAAGGCCAAGCGGCCGCCCACGGACGAUGAGAUAAAGAAGUACGUGAAGCAAAUCCUAGAGGGCGCUAACUUGGAGCAGAUCACGAUGAAGACGGUGUGCAAGCAGGUGUACAGCCACUACCCGGACUUUGACCUCGCGCACAAGAAGGACUUCAUUAAGGCGACCGUCAAAUCGUGUAUUUAAGAUGUUUAGGAGUUAAGGGCGGAGUGUAGAUGUCUACGUAGCAUACCUAUAGUUUAUAAACGGACAUAGUUAUAUAUUAUUACAAUAAUAAUAUAUUAUGAAAAAAAAAAUUUAAUAUCUGACAUGAAGUGGAAUGGAUAAACUCCCGCUUUUCUUUUUCAAGCUCAUAUCAUCGUGAGCGGUGACUUCGGCCGCAAACAUUUAGCAGUAAGCUACAUAAGUUAGACUAAUUCCCGUUCGCUCCGCUCCACACUUCGGCGCGGUACGCACGGUACGGUAGGAAUUCCUUACAUGUAAGCGUUCACUGAAUACAUUAUUGUAACACUUGUCUAUUUUUGUCUAUUUUUAUGCUAUUUUUUUUUGUUUUGUAUUCAUUAUUAUAUUACUAUUAUAAUUGACAUGGCUGAUCCAUAGUCUGCCUGUUUUGUUGAUACUACGGAAAAAUGUGCACCUGUUUGUACGUACACACUUAUGCACUUUAUUCUUAUAGAUGAAAAAAAAAAUUAAAAAAUCUUUAUUCGUCAACUAAGUCUUACAAACAAGUAGAAAGGGUGGAAUGAUGAUGAUGAAUGAAAUGAAGGGUUAUACUAGGUGGGAAACCCGUAUUACUGGGUGCCAAAGUAGAUGAUUAUUCACUUUGGUCACUGGACGAAUUUCAUUAUAAUAUUAAUUCAUUAUUGUGUGAAAGUUUAAGGGUCACACCACCUUCUAAGUGUUAGAUAAUUUAAACGUAAGUUUUGUAACUUUCAUACUUACAAGUGACAAAUACUUGUGAAUAAGCUAUCUGACACUUAUUAGAAAGUGGAAAAAAUAUGGUUGCAUUUUUAGUGUGUCAUUUUAUAAUAUGUAAUCUUAAAAGGUUACUUUCAAGUCGGCUAACUUUUCAUCGACAGUACAAGUUUCAACAAAAGAGGCAGAUUGUGGAUAGCACGAUGGUAGUGUGUUUAAAAUGACGUUAUUUUCAUAUUAUGUUUAGGGGAAUGAUAACAGUAUAAAUAAUACAAUUUCAAUUCUCUGUUGAAUAUAAAAUAAAAUUAUUUAAAUAAUAGAUUUUAAUAAUUGUAAUAUCUAGAAUAUUAUUAUAUGAAUUGGUGGUAUCCACAAAUUAAUUUGAAAUUUGAUUUUUUUGUACAAAAAAAAGUUAAAAGCAUUUUUUGUAUUUCUGUUAAUCUUAUUUUGCGUUAGGUAUGAAGACUCAGAGUACCGCUGUGUUGUGACCACAGAGGGGAGUGAGGGGAUUGCGGGCAGCAACUUAAUAUUGGCAAUAUACCCUCACCCUACAUAUUGUCAAUAUUAUUGACAAUACAAUAAUAUUGACAAUAUUGGUCAAUAAUAUUGACAAUAUUGGUCAUUAAUAUUGACAAUAUUGGUCAUUAAUAUUGGCAAUACUUGUCAAUAAUAUUGACAAUAUUUGUCAAUAAUAUUGGCAAUACUUGUCAAUAUUAUUGUCAAUAUAUGCAUGUAUGCUCAUAAAUGUUGUACAGCAUAAUGUGCUGGUACGCAUCACUAGUCGCCCGCCCCGCACCCCUGCACCGCGCGGACGAGGACUCUGUUCGUCUAUAGCUUGGCAAGUUCGUUCGUAACACUCCCGACGGGCCGGAAGGGGAGUAGUGAUGCCCCGCUCGCACGACUUCAUACCCGCGCAGUCUUCUCUCUGCCCCGCGCAGUCCGAUCCCCCCGUCGCCCGCAUAUCAUGGGAGUGUCAUCAACGAAUUUGCCAAGCUAUACACUGUUGCAUACCAACGAUAUACUCGUACAAUAACCAUUCGUUUAUUAAUAUAUUUUCGAGUACUGUGAUGAUUCGCCUUGAACAUUUUUCUAUUUAUAAAUGUGACUUAUUUUGUAGAGGUGUGCCGCGUCGGGACCAUGUUUUUUUUUUAAUUUUAAUCUAGAAACUUUGUAACUCCGUACAUUUGGUGUGACAAAAGCGACGGUGGAAUGCGCUGUCGUGUUAAUUGCUAGGUUGCGAAAUAUUUUCAAGCUAGCUAGAUGUAAUAAGUCAAAGUCAACAAAUUGGCUUCAUUUACAAGUACUUUGUUGCUGUUGUAUGCGUAUGCGUGAGAGAAAGGGACGCCAGACAGAGUUGCGCCGUAACGCGUUACGUUACGGAGCAGUUUACCCUCCCAUUAGAAGUUAUUACUAUAAUAUGUCACUGCCACUGAAUUACCAUCAGUAGCAACAGCAUGCUAGACCAUAUUUCGCAGGCUAUUAGUCUCCUUCACAAAAGCUAUUUAUACCAAAAGAAUAUCUCGUUCUCCUAAAACUAUGCUUGAGGUGUCAUUCUAUUCGGAAUCGCAUGUAGAUGGUUUUUGAAAAAAAUCAAGAGCCGCUCACAAAGAUUGCAAAAAUUACAGACAAUAAACUCAAAAUUAAAAAGGGAUUUGAUUUUUUACUUAUAUCUCAACCACUAUUUAAGAUAUUUUCAAUUUGACAAAAUUUUCAAAAAGAAGAGGAAAAUUGCUAAGAAAAACUGGAAUUUUUAGCAAUUUUUGCUAGCAACAGUCCUUGAAUUUUUUCAAAAACUAUUCCGAAUCGAAUGACACCUCAAGUGUAGUUUCUAGGAGACAGAAAAAGUUUUGGUAUAAAUAGCUUUAGUGAACGAGACUACAUAGCAAUUAACACGAUAAAAAGCAUUAAUAAUUAACAUCCAUCGCUAUUUGUAUAAGCAUCAAAUAUUGUACAAAUUUGGUAUUCGAUCCGACUUCGGGCAUACUAAAUUCACUAGUAACAUGUUAAUCGCCUAGUAGCGUAUCAUCGUAUUGUAUGUCUGUGUAUAAAAUAUUGUUGAUUGGGGGUAGUCUAUAAAAUACGUUGGCAAUUAAAGGUGUUCAGAUCACGACCAACACAUUAUUAUCAGCUUCACUGAUAAAAAUCUUUUCGACCGCUGUAACUGGAUGAAUUUCCUUUUCUUUGGGACGGCUUACCUUCAACUAAAUUCCAUCCUUCGCCACUGCUAACUAGGUACUUAUAACUGUCGUUAUUUUUUGUAAUGCUUAAAUGUCGACCCUAAAAAUGGGUAAACAGUGGGUUCAUUACAACUUGAAAAAACAGUUUUUUUUUUUAAGUUUGGCCGAAAGAAACGUGAUCUAAUUUUGAUGUGUUUCAGUGAUUGCAAUAGUUUAUAAUCACAUCUCAAACAAUUGCAACUCCAGCAGACCAAUUCACUAUCUUUGACGUAUGUUAGUUGACAUAAAUACGAAAUUGAGAUUGUGUGUAACAAAUGUCCUUCCGGUGCCUACUUGUGGAUAUCAUACAGUAGGUAGAUGACAUUUCUCAAUUGAUUUGAUGCUUAUUGUAAUAGGUUGAUAAUAAAGACUAAAAUAGUGAAUAGGCCAGUUUCUUUUUGUUUUCCACAAUUUUUUAACGUGUCUGAAUCGAUGUCGUCAUAUGAGUAUGUAUUCCUUUUUAACAUAGCAUUAUUGUAUGUAAUUAUAAUUUUAUAUAAGAUAAUAUUUGUUUUAUUAUAAACAAUCAGCUGUAAUUAUUAUAUAUUUUUUGUACUUACGAGAUAAGUGUUCCGUUAUGAUUGAUAAGUGUAAUAAUUUCAAUAAAUAUUCGUUGUAUUAAGACUAAAUGGAUUUAUUAUUUAAAAAAGAAAACCUCAUUCGGAUGAAUGUGCGAAUAUAUAUGCGCAACGUAUUUUAUACACGGCCCAAAAUUUUGAAUGUGUGGUGUGUAAGAUUAUUUUUGUAAUGUAGUCUGUAAACUAUUAUUUGCAGUUCAGCACUCGCGAAUCUAUGUAAGGUUUGAUUAAGUGUAACUAUUAAGACGUGUAAAUACACAGGACUGCACCGUUUGGGAAAUGUAGCUUCGCUGGCAUCUCGUCGACUAGUAAAAAAAAAAGAAUAUUCUUAUAUAAACAUUUUGGUGGAGUCACCGUUCUAAAUUGAAAAUGAUAUUUUUUAAACUGUUGUACCGAUUCGCCGCUUUUUUUAUUGUUGCAGCAAACGAACUACUAUUAUUAUAAACGAUUAUUUAAUUUAUUUUACAUCUUUGUGUGCAAUAAAAGUUUAUAUGAAAUGAUCAUCUGAGCUUAACGAUCAUCGAUCUCCUAUUAAAAAUGGAUGCACAAUCAGCGACCGAAAAACGUCACCAUUCAAUGAGUGCCAAACACAACUUAUUGGCACUCAAUUCAAGUAGUCGCAUUUGCAAACUCAAUCCUUAAGGUUGAAUUUGCUCUGAAUUUGGAAUUUUAUUGAAUAUUCGACUAUAUUUAAAUUUUUGGUAAAAAAAAUUAUACCUAAAGGUAUAAUUUUCUUUACCAAAAAUUCUAAAACUAUCAAAGCAAAAUUGGUUAGUUUUUUAGGUGAAGUUUUCUACAGGAUUGUGCGUCCAUUUAUUAUAAGAGGUCAAUGUUAACGAUGUAUAAAUUCAUAUACACAUCCUUGAUAUUGCAUAAUUAUUGUUUUUAAACUGUCCAGGUGCUCGUGAUGUAUGCGUUUAUAUGUCUUCUUUUUCUCUCUAAGUGUUACUUGUGGCCGAACAGUCGCUAAGUCCGUGGGUGAGCUAACAUUCUAGUUGUAAUUCUGGUCUGAACGCGUCUAGACUUUACGAGAAUGCCUUGCAUAGCAGAGACCUAGUUAUGUCUAUAUUUGAUGUCUCUGUUCUGUUACGCAUUCGAAUGUGACUCGCGUGGACUGUCUUGCAAGUGACUUGUGUUUGUUUGAUAUACAAUUUGAGGUUGAUUAACUACACAAGUGAAUUGUUAGUCAGUUUGUGCGUUGUCUUUGAAAACUUUCAUUAUUCAGCAACAGGAGAAACAAUACUAAUGACCGGAGUAUUGGAUUAUUUAACAAUAAAUCGAAAUCUAAAGGUGCUGAUACACUUGAGCAUUCAUGCAAAUGUUAAUGUCACAGAAAAAUCCGAGAACAUUCUAUCGAAUGAUUAUGUUCUGUUACAAGUGAAUACUCAAGCCUAUCAGCACCUUAAGGAUAGCUGUUUUUGCGAAUGGUACAUAAGGACAUUCAGAUAAACAUGCCGUUUAGUUUUAUUUUAGAAUCGACUGUAUAGGACAUUUUGUCCUGUGUCCACUGGUUAGGAUGCGACAUUAUUGCAUUAUUUUAUUAAAAUUGACUUCUAUGAAACUUAUCAACUUAAUCGUUGCUGAGUAAUGGAAUUCUGUUCUAAUUCUGACCGUUAAUGCUAAUGAAAUUUGGUUAUUCUUUCAUCCUUCUGUAAACUCUCGGCGCGCGCAGACCAUUUAAUUCUAAGAUAGAUUUAAUCAACAUUAAAUGUGUAUUUGUGAAUUUAACCUUAUUUUGGUUGAUGUUUCUUUAUAUUUGUGUAAAUGCUGACGAACAGUAGACAAGUAGUGACACGGAGUGAUAGAGUGACUGGUUCCCCUUUUACAAUUGGAAUAUAGAUAAUAAAGCAAAUAAAAGUUUGAAAUGUC